CUAAGAAUAUUCCGCAAUGGACGAAAGUCUGACGGAGCGACGCCGCGUGGAUGAAGAAGGCCGCAAGGUUGUAAAAUCCUUUUGCUGGGGAAGAAUAAGUCCAGGAGGGAAUGCCUGGAUGAUGACAUGAACCGGCGAAUAAGCAUCGGCUAACUCCGUGCCAGCAGCCGCGGUAAUACGGAGGAUGCGAGCGUUAUCCGGAUUUAUUGGGUUUAAAGGGUGUGUAGGCGGACCGUUAAGUGCUUUGUGAAAUCCCCCGGCUCAACCGGGGAAUGGCUGGGCAUACUGGCGGUCUUGAGCGGCCUAGGGGUGACUGGAACAAACGGUGGAGCGGUGAAAGGCGUAGAUAUAUGGAGGAACACCAGUGGCGAAGGCGACUCUCUGGUCUGUAACUGACGCUGAGGCUGGAAAGCGUGGGGAGCAAACA
rnacentral:rRNA from 1 species